UCGCGGCCACGGCCGAUGACGGUGGUCUCAAGAUGGGCACACACGCCGGCCGCGGGAAGGGGACGCAGUGCAAGAACAUGAAGCAAAAUCAGCGCAAGAAGCUCAACGGUAGCUCCCUCAUCAAGGCUGAAUGUGCUUCUUCAGCGACGACCUGAAGGGAGCAACAACAACUGGAUGGCCAGCACUUGUUCAGGGAGGAUGGCGAGUAAGUCUGGGAGCUACUACACAUUAUCAGCCACUGGUUUCUAUUGUUGUGUUGUAAUGCAGUAUGAGAGUUGACUCUUUUUGCAUUUGAGCUAGCUAGAUAAGAGCAGAGCUAAUUUCCAUGUUUUGGUAGCAAGUGACAAUGGCAACUUUCCAUGUUUGAAUGCACAAGAUCGCUUUAUUUUCAGUCAA